rnacentral:rRNA from 3 species
UCUGGUAGUUAUGGCGAGAAGGUCACACCCGUUCCCAUCCCGAACACGGUAGUUAAGCUUCUCUGCGCCAAUGGUAGUUGGGGGCUUCC